AUUGAACGCUGGCGGCAGGCCUAACACAUGCAAGUCGAGCGGAUGAAGGGAGCUUGCUCCUGGAUUCAGCGGCGGACGGGUGAGUAAUGCCUAGGAAUCUGCCUGGUAGUGGGGGAUAACGUCCGGAAACGGGCGCUAAUACCGCAUACGUCCUGAGGGAGAAAGUGGGGGAUCUUCGGACCUCACGCUAUCAGAUGAGCCUAGGUCGGAUUAGCUAGUUGGUGGGGUAAAGGCCUACCAAGGCGACGAUCCGUAACUGGUCUGAGAGGAUGAUCAGUCACACGGGAACUGAGACACGGUCCAGACUACUACGGGAGGCAGCAGUGGGGAAUAUUGGACAGAGGGCGAAAGCCUGAUCCAGCCAUGCCGCGUGUGUGAAGAAGGUCUUCGGAUUGUAAAGCACUUUAAGUUGGGAGGAAGGGCAGUAAGUUAAUACCUUGCUGUUUUGACGUUACCAACAGAAUAAGCACCGGCUAACUUCGUG
rnacentral:rRNA from 1 species